rnacentral:lncRNA from 1 species
GUAGACAAAGUAAUAGAUACAUGUAACAAUUAUAUUGCUUAAUUUUUUUUUUUGUGAGGACUAUCAAUAUUAUCUUAUUCUCUCUUACAUAUAAGUACUAGAUAAUUAUGCCCGUGCUAUUCACGGGCCCAACACUCCAUGCUCUGUAUAAAAAACUAAAAAAUAUAAUAUUCAGAUUAUUUUCUCGUAAAAAUCACAAGAUGACAUAAUGUUGUUAUUCUCUUUACAAAAAUGUGCGAAAAUUACACAAGGAUGAUACCACUCCAACGAUCAAUCCAGACCCUUUGUUAGUUCGUCUUCUCACCAUUUUUUUCGGUUGCUGAAGCAUGUACCAUUAUUUGUAUUGCGUCAUAUAGCCUUGUCUUGCAAGUUUGUGUUGCAUAACUUGCUUGACUUGGUACUGCCUCGACCUCUUCCAUUCCUAAGCCCAAAGACUGGGUGGUUGUUAGACUGCAUGAUAAAUAUUUUAAGUAAUUGUUUUUUAAUAUUGAUGAUUUGAUAUCCACACCAGAAAAAUGUAAAUGGAUCCAUCUAAAUUAGUCAUGAACUUUGCAUCAAGUUCUAUAUUGAUUUGUAUUUCUCAUUCUUAUGCAGCUAUGUCAUUAUAUUCAAACUUUAGCAUUAGAGAAUCAAAUGGCAGUCAAGUUCUAUGAUUGAUCUAUGUGCUUUUCGUUUUUAUGCAAAUUCAGUGUCAUUCUGUUAAAACUUUAGCAUUAGAGAAUCAAGUUUCAGUCCAAUUGGUAGUUGUCUAAUGUCCGUCUGAUUGUUUUUCUUUUGAUACAAAAAACUAUUGCAAAAGGCACACCACUUGUAAAAAUUAUCAAAGAAAAGAGCUUAAUGGAUAAACAAUAGUAAGUAUGUACCUUUUUCAGUCUUGAAAUCGGCAAAGAGAUGCAGAAGCUUGCUUCUGUUUGAGACAAGAAUCUGUAAUUGAAGUGCAAACAGGUGCAACUAAUAAGAAAGGAAAAAACGCACUGCAUACAAAAUAAAAACAUUGAAGCAACUUAUUAUAAAAAUGAUAAACCCCUAACCUUGCUAAACAAAGUGAAC